rnacentral:rRNA from 1 species
CUACGGGUGGCUGCAGUGGGGAAUAUUGGGCAAUGGGCGAAAGCCUGACCCAGCAACGCCGCGUGAUUGAAGAAGGUCUUCGGAUUGUAAAAAUCUGUCCUUGGGGACGAAAAAAAUGACGGUACCCAAGGAGGAAGCCCCGGCUAACUACGUGCCAGCAGCCGCGGUAAUACGUAGGGGGCGAGCGUUGUCCGGAAUUACUGGGCGUAAAGGGUGCGCAGGCGGCGCUUUAAGUCAGAUGUGAAAUACCCAGGCUUAACCUGGGGGGUGCAUUUGAAACUGGAGUGCUUGAGUGCAGGAGAGGAAAGUGGAAUUCCUAGUGUAGCGGUGAAAUGCGUAGAUAUUAGGAGGAACACCAGUGGCGAAGGCGACUUUCUGGACUGUAACUGACGCUGAGGCACGAAAGCGUGGGGAGCAAACAGGAUUAGAUACCCCCGUAGUC